GGAGAAUCAGGGUUCGAUUCCGGAGAGGGAGCCUGAGAAACGGCUACCACAUCCAAGGAAGGCAGCAGGCACGCAAAUUACCCAAUCCCAGCUCUGGGAGGUAGUGACGAAAAAUAACAAUGCGGGACUCUUCCGAGUCUGCGUAAUUGGAAUGAGCACACUUUAAAUCCUUUAGCAACAACCAAUUGGAGGGCAAGUCUGGUGCCAGCAGCCGCGGUAAUUCCAGCUCCAAUAGCGUAUAUUAAAGUUGUUGCGGUUAAAAAGCUCGUAGUUCGAGUUCAGUUCCGGACUGGCCGGGGAGGUCACCGCCCGGUGCUUCCCCGUCAGGCUCCGAACAGCUUCCGUGAGUGGAAGCCAAGCCGGUUCUGCCGGGGUGCUCUUUACCGAGUGUCCCGCGCGGCCGGCCAGUUCACCUUGAAUAAAUGAGAGUGCUCAAAGCAGGCUACUCUCGAAUACAAUGCCCGAAUGUUACCUGCAUGGAAUGAUGGAAGAUGAUCUCGGUUCCAUUUUCUUGGUGGUGGGAGCCAGAGGUAAUGAUAAAGAGGGACUGUCGGGGGCAUCCGUACUACGACGCGAGAGGUGAAAUUCAGUGACCGUCGUAGGACGAACAACAGCGAAAGCAUUUGCCAAGAAUGUCUUCGUUGAUCAAGAACGAAAGUUAGAGGAUCGAAGGCGAUCAGAUACCGCCCUAGUUCUAACC
rnacentral:rRNA from 1 species